GUACGUACUGGUAUUGUUGGUUUCUCCCUUCUGACGAACCAUGAUGUCAUUUAUUUGGUGUUGUGGGAAAUCAGGACUGUUACUUUGAAAAAAUUAGAGUGUUUAAAGCAGGCUCACGCUUGAAUACAUUAGCAUGGAAUAAUGAAAUAGGACGUUUGAUUCUAUUUUGUUGGUUUCUAGGAUCGACGUAAUGAUUAAUAGGGAUAGUUGGGGGCAUUAGUAUUCAAUUGUCAGAGGUGAAAUUCUUGGAUUUAUUGAAGACUAACUACUGCGAAAGCAUUUGCCAAGGAUGUUUUCAUUAAUCAAGAACGAAAGUUAGGGGAUCGAAGACGAUCAGAUACCGUCGUAGUCUUAACCAUAAACUAUGCCGACUAGGGAUCGGAUGAUGUUAAUUUUUUAAUGACUCAUUCGGCGCCUUACG
rnacentral:rRNA from 1 species